rnacentral:ncRNA from 1 species
UUUAUUGAGAGUUUGAUCCUGGCUCAGGAUGAACGCUGGCGGCGUGCUUAACACAUGCAAGUCGAACGGAGUGCCUUUGAAAGAGGAUUCGUCCAAUUGAUAAGGUUACUUAGUGGCGGACGGGUGAGUAACGCGUG